AGUGAACGCUGGCGGUAGGCCUAACACAUGCAAGUCGAACGGCAGCACAGUAAGAGCUUGCUCUUACGGGUGGCGAGUGGCGGACGGGUGAGGAAUACAUCGGAAUCUACUUUUUCGUGGGGGAUAACGUAGGGAAACUUACGCUAAUACCGCAUACGACCUACGGGUGAAAGCAGGGGAUCUUCGGACCUUGCGCGAUUGAAUGAGCCGAUGUUGGAUUAGCUAGUUGGCGGGGUAAAGGCCCACCAAGGCGACGAUCCGUAGCUGGUCUGAGAGGAUGAUCAGCCACACUGGAACUGAGACACGGUCCAGACUCCUACGGGAGGCAGCAGUGGGGAAUAUUGGACAAUGGGCGCAAGCCUGAUCCAGCCAUACCGCGUGGGUGAAGAAGGCCUUCGGGUUGUAAAGCCCUUUUGUUGGGAAAGAAAAGCAGCAGGUUAAUACCCCGAUGUUCUGACGGUACCCAAAGAAUAAGCACCGGCUAACUUCGUG
rnacentral:rRNA from 1 species